rnacentral:rRNA from 1 species
GACGAACGCUGGCGGCGUGCUUAACACAUGCAAGUCGAACGGAAAGGCCCUGCUUUUGUGGGGUGCUCGAGUGGCGAACGGGGGAGUAACACGUGAGUAACCUGCCCUUGACUUUGGGAUAACUCCAGGAAACUGGGGCUAAUACCGGAUAGGAGCUCUUGAUGCAUGGGGGGGGUUGGAAAGUUUCGGCGGUUGGGGAUGGACUCGCGGCUUAUCAGCUUGUUGGGGGGGUAGGGGCUUACCAAGGUUUCGACGGGUAGCCGGCCUGGGAGGGUGACCGGCCACAAUGGGACUGAGGUACGGCCCAGACUCCUACGUGAGGCAGCAGUGGGGAAUCUUGCGCAACGGGCGGAAGUCUGAUGCAGCAACGCCGCGUGCGUGAUGCCGGCCUUCGAGUUGUAAACCGCUGUCGCCUGUGACGAAGCGUGAGUGACGGUAAUGGGUAAAGAAGCACCGGCUAACUACGUG